AGCGAACGCUGGCGGCAGGCUUAACACAUGCAAGUCGAGCGGGCAUAGCAAUAUGUCAGCGGCAGACGGGGGGGUAACGCGUGGGAACGUACCUUUUGGUUCGGAACAACACAGGGAAACUUGUGCUAAUACCGGAUAAGCCCUUACGGGGAAAGAUUGAUCGGCGAAGGAUCGGCCCGCGUCUGAUUGGCGAGUUGGUGGGGUAAUGGCUCACCAAGGCGACGAGCAGUAGCUGGUCUGAGAGGAUGAUCAGCCACAUUGGGACUGAGACACGGCCCAAACUCCGACGGGAGGCAGCAGUGGGGAAUAUUGGACGCUGGGCGCAAGCCUGAUCAAGCCAUGCCGCGUGAGUGAUGAAGGCCCUAGGGUUGUAAAGCUCUUUUGUGCGGGAAGAUAAUGACGGUACCGCAAGAAUAAGCCCCGGCUAACUUCGUG
rnacentral:rRNA from 1 species